CUUUUUCUGAAAUAUUCGUUAGGCUCUUAUUUUGAACCUACAUUUUAACUUCGGGAAUCCAAUAUUUAGAUGAGGAAAUGUACCUUCUUAUGAGUCCUUUUUACGGCAUUGAAGGCGAUUGAUGCAUCUGUGAGGAUACCCACCUAUCGAGAGAUAGGUGUCAAAAUUAGAGUACCGGUAUUUUGGAUAUUAU
rnacentral:other from 1 species